CUCGCAGAACCUGUUUCACCCUUUCAGUGCAGUCUCGGCAGAGUCGUUCACUUCUCGUCUGAAGGCAGAAAGAUUCUGUAUGAACCUGUCUCGAUUCUUUUUGUGAGCAAGUUCCUUUCAAUGCCCUCCACCAUCAAAUUCUCAAAGCAUAGAUGCAUGGCUUGUUGCUUCUCAGAGGGGGCUGGCUACUAACAAUUCUGCUC